UACGGAAUGUGCAAACGUUAUUCGGAAUCACUGGGCUUAAAGAGUCCGUAGGCGGCAUGUUAGGUGAGGUGUGAAAUCCCCCGGCUCAACCGAGGAAUUGCGCUUCAAACCGGCGUGCUUGAGGAAGAUAGAGGUGGGCGGAACUGAUGGUGGAGCGGUGAAAUGCGUUGAUAUCUACAGGAACUCCGGUGGCGAAAGCGGCGUGCUGGAUCCCUUCUGACGCUGAGGCUCGAAAGCCAGGGGAGCAAACGGG
rnacentral:rRNA from 1 species